UUAGUGACGCGCAUGAAUGGAUGAA
rnacentral:piRNA from 4 species